rnacentral:rRNA from 1 species
UACGUAGGGUGCGAGCGUUGUCCGGAAUUAUUGGGCGUAAAGGGCUCGUAGGCGGUCUGUCGCGUCGAAAGUGAAAACUCAGGGCUUAACCCUGAGCCUGCUUCCGAUACGGGCAGACUAGAGGUAUGCAGGGGAGAACGGAAUUCCUGGUGUAGCGGUGGAAUGCGCAGAUAUCAGGAGGAACACCGGUGGCGAAGGCGGUUCUCUGGGCAUUACCUGACGCUGAGGAGCGAAAGUGUGGGGAGCGAACAGG